rnacentral:tRNA from 1 species
GAGGGUAUAGCUCACGAGUAGAGCUCAUACUUAGCAUGCACGAGGUCCUGGGUUCAAUCCCCAGUACCUCCA